AGCAGUGAGGAAUAUUGGUCAAUGGACGAAAGUCUGAACCAGCCAUGCCGCGUGCAGGAAGACUGCCCUACGGGUUGUAAACUGCUUUUAUAUAGGAAUAAACCCUCGUUCGUGAACGAGGCUGAAGGUACUAUAAGAAUAAGGACCGGCUAACUCCGUGCCAGCAGCCGCGGUAAUACGGAGGGUCCAAGCGUUAUCCGGAUUUAUUGGGUUUAAAGGGUCCGCAGGCGGGAGAAUAAGUCAGUGGUGAAAUCCUGUCGCUUAACGAUAGAACUGCCAUUGAUACUGUUUUUCUUGAGUAUAGAUGAAGUGGGCGGAAUGUGUCAUGUAGCGGUGAAAUGCAUAGAUAUGACACAGAACACCGAUUGCGAAGGCAGCUCACUAAACUAUAACUGACGCUCAUGGACGAAAGCGUGGGGAGCGAACAGGAUUAGAUACCCUGGUAGUCCACGCUGUAAACGAUGAUUACUCGGUGUUAACGAUAUACGGUUAGUGCCUAAGCGAAAGUGAUAAGUAAUCC
rnacentral:rRNA from 1 species